GUGCUCGCUUCGGCAGCAUAUAUACUAAAAUUGGAACAAUACAGAGAAGAUUAGCAUGGCCUCUGCACAAGGAUGAUACCCAAUCAUCCCGUUAUUCCUUCUCUUUUC